GACGAACGCUGGCGGCGUGCUUAACACAUGCGAGUCGAACGGAAAGGCCCUGCUUUUGUGGGGUGCUCGAGUGGCGAACGGGUGAGUAACACGUGAGUAACCUGCCCUUGACUUUGGGAUAACUUCAGGAAACUGGGGCUAAUACCGGAUAGGAGCUCCUGCUGCAUGGUGGGGGUUGGAAAGUUUCGGCGGUUGGGGAUGGACUCGCGGCUUAUCAGCUUGUUGGUGGGGUAGUGGCUUACCAAGGCUUUGACGGGUAGCCGGCCUGAGAGGGUGACCGGCCACAUUGGGACUGAGAUACGGCCCAGACUCCUACGGGAGGCAGCAGUGGGGAAUAUUGCACAAUGGGCAGAAGCCUGAUGCAGCAACGCCGCGUGCGGGAUGACGGCCUUCGGGCUGUAAACCGCUUUCGCCUGUGACGAAGCGUGAGUGACGGUAAUGGGUAAAGAAGCACCGGCUAACUACGUG
rnacentral:rRNA from 1 species